UUCAGUACGCAUUAGAUCUGUAUCGUGAUCGCUUGAGUUCGACGUGCGUCACGUUACGACUUAAAACGAUGCGUAUUCGAUAUCGAAAUAAACACUUUUGAAGUUAAACACCGGAGUACUAACAGCCAACACGUCCUCCACCUCGAUGCUAUUCUUUACGCAAGCACAUUGGAAUGAAGUUUUUGAUAAUUAAAUUAUAAUUUUUCUUAAAGAUAUGAUGCAUAUACUUUAACUUUAACAAUUUACUUUAAUAAUUAAUAAUAUAAUUCAAGGUGAUAUAUUUUAAAUCACGCGACAUUUUGAGGUUAAAGAUUCUAAAAAAUUAUAGAGAAACGGAUCGGCAUGUUAAAAAGAGCAUCUAGUAAUGGUAUGUUUAUAUUAACGAAGACACUGGCGCAUCAAAAACGAAGACAAGAACGUUGUGAAAGCAAAAGAAGUGUGAAACAAGACAAACGAAAAAGAUCAUUUACUUCAAACGCGAAGCCAGUGACGUCAGGAGCGUCACCUUUGAAGAAGUAUAACCCACUGGUCGAGGAACGCAACCACGCAGCCUUCAAUCAUCAAUUAAACGCAGUCCAACAAUUUCAAUCACACAACCAAACGAGUGUCCGUGGGGGAGGAACGCCUUCUUUGCUAAGCAUCCACGCAACCUUACGUCAACAAUUACAGGGUUAACUUCCACGAGGACACAUCUUACACGUCAAACGAGACAUACACGGCGAUGAACAUGUUCAAUCAACGAUCAAACAAUUAACAAUUAAGAUGAAAAGAUAACAAUCAAGUUUUGUGAGCUAGUAUGCUUAUUACGAGACCUUUCGUACUUCGCAGCUUCAGAUAGACUGACUGAUUCUUUUGUUUGAAACCACAGAUUCUUUCCUUUGUUUCCCUUCGAUAUCCCUACUACA